CUUUUUCCCUCUCAGGUUACGUUCCUGUGUUAUUUUAGUGGCAUCAUCCAGGUUGUUUCAUUGCCACACUUACAUUUCCCUUGUACUUUUUCCUGUCUAGAACUUUCUCUUUUUGUUUUAAAUUGAAACUUGCAGAUUAGAAAUGAAAAGGCAAGAAAAUACCUCAUUAACACGCAGAGGAAAAAAACCGAUCCUGUUUGCACAAAAAUUUCCAAUGGCGUUGCAGCUGCUUGAACGCUUGCUUAUGUUUGACCCUAAAGAUCGAACAUCUGAAGAGGAGUACUGUCAACAACGAAACAGUUUAUGAUGUCGUUUUAUUUACCAAGGAAAUUGUUGAGUCUGAUGAAUGCGCGAAGACUUUAUCUCAUCCAUUGGUGCAUUCGAGAAAUUAGAUGAUCCCUAUUAUGUGGUUUGUCAAAAGUGGAUCACCAUCUACUCAGCCAAUGUCGAAGCUUGAGUUUGGAUUUGAGAGAAGGAAAUUGAUAAAAAAAAAAAAAGAUGCUAGAGACAUGAGGUACGGUUUUUUCCCAUUAUGACUGCUACUUUGUUUGUGAAAAAGUGAUCUACAUAAUUCUGAAUUCUCUUGAACUAAUAGAUUUAAAUUAUCAUCCUGAGAUGCCUCAGGAGUCUUUGUGGCAGUGAUCAUACUAGGUGCUUUGUCUGAAAGGUUAGUUGCUACCAAAAGCUUGUACAAGAAAUAUGUUCUUCUGGUAAAGGUUGUUCUGCAUUUUUACGUUCAACCACCAAAAAAGUUAAAGUUUCUAAUACAAUUUUUAAUCCUAUGAUGUGGACAACUUAGGUUUUCAUUGUUAGAUCUUGAUGUUGGUUUCGUUCUUUAUUCUUCCUCUAUCUCACAAUUUAUGGUUGUUACAGAUCGUAAGGAAAGCAACGACUUUAAUCUAACAAUCACACAUUUGAUUUUCCUGAUGGCAACUUUGAUUAUCAUCUAAUCGGUGAUAAUUAUGAGUAUAUGGUGGAUAUUAUAGGAGAGACAAUCAUCAUCUUGUUCGUGUUUGAGCAUGGCCGUUUCCAAAGUCUCCUCUCCAACAUACGCAUACAUCGUGAAAUUAAGUUUUGAGUGAGGAGAUUGAAAUAAGAUGCUUGAAACCAAUUAAAACUAAUUAUUGAACCCUUGCUAUUUUUGAUGCUUUUUCUGGUGAUACUUUUGUAUAACAAUCAAAGCUGAGCAGCAGUUGCCAUAAUAGAUAGCCAUAACUCUAACAUGAGGGGAAAAAAGAAAACUGUUUCAUAUUAUUGCAUCUUUGUUUAGAAGGGUUCCUUUUUCUAUGAUCAAAUGCUCUAGUGACUCAAUAGUGGAUCCAUAAUAUUUCUUUGGAUCCAAUUGAUCAUGUUCUAUUUCCAAGAGUGAUGCUGGUUCGUGCAUUCUAGUAGUAAUGAUUUACUCAAUUAUUUUUAGUUGAGUGUUUAUUUUUCAGACUCCUCACUGCAUAUUAAUGGGGCUUAGUGUGUCGUGUCAAAUAAUGUUGCUUCGACUGAAUAAAGUUAUUGCACCAAAUAUACUGUAAAAUGCAAUGAAAAUUUCUUAUGGGUGGUGCUUUUAUAUCAAUUUAUUGGAGUUGUUUGGUUCGAGUCACAAUUUGCAUAUCUCGAGGAGCAUUGUGGGUGAACAAACCACUCCACUUCGGAGGAAGCAUGCUUCCUUGCCUAGGUAACCUUGGAGCAACGGUCAAGUUGUUUUCGUGUGACCUAUAGGUCACAGGUUCGAGCCCUGGAAUCAAUCACUGGUCUUGCAUCAGGGUAGACUGCCUACAUUAUACCUCCUUGGGGUGCGACCCUUCCCCGGAUUCUGCGUGAACGCGGGAUGCUUUGUGCACUGAGCUGCCCUUUCGACAGUGGCGGAGCCAAAAUUUUCAUUAAAGAGAGUUAAAAUAUAAAAAAGUAAAGGGUGCAUGUGGCUCCGCCACUGCCUUUCGAUACAAAUCAUUGUAAUCAAGUGUGUUCUCAUUAACUUAGAAAGUAAUUUUGGUAAAUUUUCAGGUUAUAUUCCUUCUUUUUCUAAUACUUGUGCCUUCUUUUGCGCUAUGGGAUUUGUGGAUAACAGAAGUGGCCUACAUUCUGGUUGUAAGUGCCUUGUGAUUUAGUAAAUCAUUUGACCCCUUUGUUUUGGAUAUUUACACAUUCUUUGUCACUUGAGACACCUGUGAUAUGUUCACAAAACCAAUAAUCAAUUACUCUUCUUGUAUUUCUCCAUCUGACAUAAUUCCUCUAAUAGGAUUCUCUUAAAUAUAUUUUCGUAGGCAGAACCAAUUGAAGGCGACACAAUGAAGCUGAUGGUUUAUCUUAAAAAAGUUGCUGCACUUCAUGCCUAGUUUAACUCUUUAGCAAUUACACUUAGAUGUCUUGAUUCUGUAAAUUAUCAGUAUGUAGGGUCAGCUAUAUUUAUUCUGUAAACUUAAUUCCUAAGUUUUGUAUACCAUGAAGAUCAUAAUUGGUCUCCUGCUAUUUCUGAAUUGAGACGACAUUUUUAUAUUUCUUGUUAGAUAAAUGGUAAUUAGUUGCUGUA